rnacentral:snoRNA from 1 species
AUACCAUUAUGCUGACACUUCCUUGCUAUCUCCUUGAAUCUUUCCCAAGCCUCAAAAACUAUUUCAAUGUCCGUCUGGCAAAAGUUGGGAAUUUUCCUUCUGAAUUU